rnacentral:rRNA from 1 species
UAGUCCACGCCGUAAACGAUGUGUGCUAGAUGUCGGGUCCAUAGGAUUCGGUGUCGCAGCUAACGCACUAAGCACACCGCCUGGGGAGUACGGUCGCAAGAUUAAAACUCAAAGGAAUUGACGGGGACCCGCACAAGCGGUGGAGCAUGUUCUUUAAUUCGACGCAACGCGAAGAACCUUACCUACACUUGACAUACUCGUCGGGGAUUUCAGAGAUGAUUUCCUUCGGUUCGGCCGGACGAUGUACAGGUGCUGCACGGCUGUCGUCAGCUCGUGUCGUGAGAUGUUUGGUUAAGUCCAGCAACGAGCGCAACCCCUAUCGUAUGUUACCAGCAUUUAGUUGGGGACUCAUGCGAGACUGCCGGUGUUAAGCCGAAGGAAGGUGGGGACGACGUCAAGUCAUCAUGGCCCUUACGUCCUGGGCUACACACGUGCUACAAUGGUUGGUACAAUGAGUCGCUACAUGGCAACAUGAUGCUAAUCUCAAAAAGCCAA